CAGGAAGUUCUGAAGGAUUUCUAACUAUUAGGUUGGUGCAAAAGUAAUUGCAGUUUUUGCCAUUGAAAGUAAUGGCAAAAAUCGCAAUUACUUUUGCACCAACCUAAUAGUUUGCAC
rnacentral:miRNA from 1 species